UAGUGUAGAUGUGAAUCAUCGAAUCUUUGAACGCAACACGCACUUUUAUGUACUAGUGACAUAGAAAGUAUAUUUGUUUGAGUAUCACAUAGAAAAAAUCAGUAUGUUACACAUGCUGGCAUUUGACAGUUUAUAAACCUCGUUUCUAAUCUGUUUAAAUAUAACGGUGUUGUUGCUUACUGAUUGUUCAUUUAAAAGUAAGUUGUUGGGUAAUGUGUAAAUUAUACAAAGCACCACAUCUUAAAUACAUUAUGAGUAAUCAUCAGACAGUACCUUUAUCAAAUAUUCUAGAUCUGGAUAAUACCAGAUUAUUAAAAGAAUUUUAAUGAUAUCAAAUCAAGUAAGGUUACCCGCUGAAUUUAAGCAUAUCAAUAAGCGGAGG
rnacentral:rRNA from 1 species